UACGUAGGGAGCAAGCGUUGUUCGGAUUUACUGGGCGUAAAGGGCGCGUAGGCGGCAAUUCAAGUCAUCUGUGAAAUCUCCGGGCUUAACUCGGAACGGUCAGAUGAUACUGCUUUGCUAGAGUGCAGAAGGGGCAAUCGGAAUUCUCGGUGUAGCGGUGAAAUGCGUAGAUAUCGAGAGGAACACCAGAGGUGAAGACGGGUGGCUGGGCUGACACUGACGCUGAGGCGCGAAAGCCAGGGGAGCAAACGGG
rnacentral:rRNA from 1 species